rnacentral:lncRNA from 1 species
GCAACCUGUGGGAGGGAGGCCCGGGCCCGGGUGCGUUCCCUAUGCGAGGGACUUCUGCUACCGUGCUCACCGUGCAGUGCACGGGGAUGGGCCACGCCGGCAAUGCUCCACCGCGCACGCGCGCUUAUCCGAUUCCACCACCAUUGCCCGAUUUGCGUGUCGAUGAAACACCUGAAUAUCCGAUCGGCUAUCCGACAUCAACGGACAAAAUUGACCGGCAAAUGCUUCAGGUGAAACUAUUCAGGUAGAGCAGCUGCGAGCCUUCUCUUUUUUUUCAUAGCAAUCGUUAUUUUAUUUUCUGGGAGCCUUCUCUUUGAACACGAAAAUGAUGGAAGAACUAGGAGCAAUCAGAAGCAGAACCAUAACGAUUCCCCUACAAACAGGAGUUGCCUUGCCUUAAGAGGAAAGAAAAAUAAAGGGGCUCCUGUGUCGUGUAG